rnacentral:rRNA from 1 species
AACAGACGAGGAGCUUGCUCCUCUGACGUUAGCGGCGGACGGGUGAGUAACACGUGGAUAACCUACCUAUAAGACUGGGAUAACUUCGGGAAACCGGAGCUAAUACCGGAUAAUAUAUUGAACCGCAUGGUUCAAUAGUGAAAGACGGUUUUUGCUGUCACUUAUAGAUGGAUCCGCGCCGCAUUAGCUAGUUGGUAAGUGUAACUGGCUUACCAAUGCAACGAUGCGUAGCCGACCUGAGAGGGUGAUCGGCACACUGGAACUGAGACACGGUCCAGACUCCUACGGGAGGCAGCAGUAGGGAAUCUUCCCGCAAAUGGGCGAAAGCCUGACGGAGCCAACCCGCGUGGAGUGAUGAAGGUCUUCGGAUCGUAAAACUCUGUUAUUUAGGGGGAAGAACAAAUGUGUAAGUAACUAUGCACGUCUUGACGGUACCUAAUCAGAAAGCCACGGCUAACUACGUGCCAGCAGCCGCGGUAAUACGUAGGUGGCAAGCGUUAUCCGGAAUUAUUGGGCGUAAAGCGCGCGUAGCGGUUUUUUAAGUCUGAUGUGAAAGCCCACGGCUCAACCGUGGAGGGUCAUUGGAAACUGGAAAACUUGAGUGCAGAAGAGGAAAGUGGAAUUCCAUGUGUACGGUGAAAUGCGCAGAGAUAUGGAGGAACACCAGUGGCGAAGGCGACUUUCUGGUCUGUAACUGACGCUGAUGUGCGAAAGCGUGGGGAUCAAACAGGAUUAGAUACCUGGUAGUCCACGCCGUAAACGAUGAGUGCUAAGUGUUAGGGGGUUUCCGCCCCUUAGUGCUGCAGCUAACGCAUUAAGCACUCCGCCUGGGG